rnacentral:rRNA from 1 species
AGUAGGGAAUCUUCCACAAUGGGCGCAAGCCUGAUGGAGCAACACCGCGUGAGUGAAGAAGGGUUUCGGCUCGUAAAGCUCUGUUGUUAAAGAAGAACACGUAUGAGAGUAACUGUUCAUACGUUGACGGUAUUUAACCAGAAAGUCACGGCUAACUACGUGCCAGCAGCCGCGGUAAUACGUAGGUGGCAAGCGUUAUCCGGAUUUAUUGGGCGUAAAGAGAGUGCAGGCGGUUUUCUAAGUCUGAUGUGAAAGCCUUCGGCUUAACCGGAGAAGUGCAUCGGAAACUGGAUAACUUGAGUGCAGAAGAGGGUAGUGGAACUCCAUGUGUAGCGGUGGAAUGCGUAGAUAUAUGGAAGAACACCAGUGGCGAAGGCGGCUACCUGGUCUGCAACUGACGCUGAGACUCGAAAGCAUGGGUAGCGAA